AGAGUUUGAUCCUGGCUCAGGACGAACGCUGGCGGCGUGCUUAACACAUGCAAGUCGAGCGGAAAGGCCCUUCGGGGUACUCGAGCGGCGAACGGGUGAGUAACACGUGAGUAACCUGCCCUGGACUUUGGGAUAACCCUCGGAAACGGGGGCUAAUACCGAAUAUGACAUUCCACCGCAUGGUGUGUUUGUGGAAAGUUUUUCGGUCUGGGAUGGGCUCGCGGCCUAUCAGCUUGUUGGUGGGGUGAUGGCCUACCAAGGCGACGACGGGUAGCCGGCCUGAGAGGGCGACCGGCCACACUGGGACUGAGACACGGCCCAGACUCCUACGGGAGGCAGCAGUGGGGAAUAUUGCACAAUGGGCGGAAGCCUGAUGCAGCGACGCCGCGUGAGGGAUGACGGCCUUCGGGUUGUAAACCUCUUUCAGCAGGGACGAAGCGCAAGUGACGGUACCUGCAGAAGAAGCGCCGGCCAACUACGUGCCAGCAGCCGCGGUAAGACGUAGGGCGCGAGCGUUGUCCGGAUUUAUUGGGCGUAAAGAGCUCGUAGGCGGCUUGUCGCGUCGACUGUGAAAACCCGCGGCUCAACCGCGGGCCUGCAGCCGAUACGGGCAGGCUAGAGUUCGGUAGGGGAGACUGGAAUUCCUGGUGUAGCGGUGAAAUGCGCAGAUAUCAGGAGGAACACCGAUGGCGAAGGCAGGUCUCUGGGCCGAUACUGACGCUGAGGAGCGAAAGCGUGGGGAGCGAACAGGAUUAGAUACCCUAGUAGUCC
rnacentral:rRNA from 1 species